GAAAUGCGAUAAGUAGUGUGAAUUGCAGAAUUCAGUGAAUCAUCGAAUCUUUGAACGCACAUUGCGCCCGCCAGUAUUCUGGCGGGCAUGCCUGUUCGAGCGUCAUUUCAACCAUCAAGCCCCGGGCUUGUGUUGGGGACCUGCGGCUGCCGCAGGCCCUGAAAAGCAGUGGCGGGCUCGCUGUCACACCGAGCGUAGUAGCAUACAUCUCGCUCUGGGCGUGCUGCGGGUUCCGGCCGUUAAACCACCUUCGUAACCCAAGGUUGACCUCGGAUCAGGUAGGAAGACCCGCUGAACUUAAGC
rnacentral:misc_RNA from 1 species